rnacentral:lncRNA from 1 species
GGGGAGGGCCCGCGCGCGCGCUCUGGAGACUCCUGCGGUCUCCCUAGCUGUUUCUUGAAGCUCUGCAUAAGCCUCGCCCGCGGCCGCCGGGUUGCGUCCGCACUUCUGCGCGCUGGCCCCUCCCUUGCUCCUCUCCCUAGCAGUCUCCAGGGUUUUACCGGGAGGACCUAGGCAACGGCCUGAGACUCCGAGACUCUAUGUUGAAGAUGCCUGGACUAACCUACUGAAGAUACGUGGUUUUACCAACAGCCAGCACCAAUAGGAAGAUAUGAAUGAAGCCAUCUGAGACCAGCCAUCUGGCAGCCAAACUGCCAACUGACUGCAAAUGCAUGAAUGAUCCCACUGACACCACGUAGAGCACAAAUGAGUUGCCUCCACUGAGCCCAGCCCAAAUUGUUAUCCUAUAAAAUCAUAAAAACAUAAACAGUUGUUUUAAGUCACUAAGUUUUGGAUAGUUUGUUAUACAACAAAAGCUAGCUGAAACAAAUGUAUUAGCUAGAGCAGCUGUGAAUGGCACUAUUUGCUUAGUUGAUUGGCUGAAAUUUGGACUCACUGGUAGGUUACAUUUAAUGGUGUUGAGUUGCCAGAAUUUCUCUGGAAUAAUGUAUAGGAAGGAUUCUAAUGGCCUAAGCCAUUAGAAUCUCUAAGGAGAUAGAAAUAAAGGAGUGAUUUAUUAUAUGUAA